GGUUAAGCGACUAAGCGUACACGGUGGAUGCCCUGGCAGUCAGAGGCGAUGAAGGACGUGCUAAUCUGCGAUAAGCGUCGGUAAGGUGAUAUGAACCGUUAUAACCGGCGAUUUCCGAAUGGGGAAACCCAGUGUGAUUCGUCACACUAUCAUUAACUGAAUCCAUAGGUUAAUGAGGCGAACCGGGGGAACUGAAACAUCUAAGUACCCCGAGGAAAAGAAAUCAACCGAGAUUCCCCCAGUAGCGGCGAGCGAACGGGGAGCAGCCCAGAGCCUGAAUCAGUGUGUGUGUUAGUGGAAGCGUCUGGAAAGGCGUGCGAUACAGGGUGACAGCCCCGUACACAAAAAUGCACAUACUGUGAGCUCGAUGAGUAGGGCGGGACACGUGGUAUCCUGUCUGAAUAUGGGGGGACCAUCCUCCAAGGCUAAAUACUCCUGACUGACCGAUAGUGAACCAGUACCGUGAGGGAAAGGCGAAAAGAACCCCGGCGAGGGGAGUGAAAAAGAACCUGAAACCGUGUACGUACAAGCAGUGGGAGCACGCUUAGGCGUGUGACUGCGUACCUUUUGUAUAAUGGGUCAGCGACUUAUAUUCUGUAGCAAGGUUAACCGAAUAGGGGAGCCGAAGGGAAACCGAGUCUUAACUGGGCGUUAAGUUGCAGGGUAUAGACCCGAAACCCGGUGAUCUAGCCAUGGGCAGGUUGAAGGUUGGGUAACACUAACUGGAGGACCGAACCGACUAAUGUUGAAAAAUUAGCGGAUGACUUGUGGCUGGGGGUGAAAGGCCAAUCAAACCGGGAGAUAGCUGGUUCUCCCCGAAAGCUAUUUAGGUAGCGCCUCGUGAAUUCAUCUCCGGGGGUAGAGCACUGUUUCGGCAAGGGGGUCAUCCCGACUUACCAACCCGAUGCAAACUGCGAAUACCGGAGAAUGUUAUCACGGGAGACACACGGCGGGUGCUAACGUCCGUCGUGAAGAGGGAAACAACCCAGACCGCCAGCUAAGGUCCCAAAGUCAUGGUUAAGUGGGAAACGAUGUGGGAAGGCCCAGACAGCCAGGAUGUUGGCUUAGAAGCAGCCAUCAUUUAAAGAAAGCGUAAUAGCUCACUGGUCGAGUCGGCCUGCGCGGAAGAUGUAACGGGGCUAAACCAUGCACCGAAGCUGCGGCAGCGACGCUUAUGCGUUGUUGGGUAGGGGAGCGUUCUGUAAGCCUGUGAAGGUGUGCUGUGAGGUAUGCUGGAGGUAUCAGAAGUGCGAAUGCUGACAUAAGUAACGAUAAAGCGGGUGAAAAGCCCGCUCGCCGGAAGACCAAGGGUUCCUGUCCAACGUUAAUCGGGGCAGGGUGAGUCGACCCCUAAGGCGAGGCCGAAAGGCGUAGUCGAUGGGAAACAGGUUAAUAUUCCUGUACUUGGUGUUACUGCGAAGGGGGGACGGAGAAGGCUAUGUUGGCCGGGCGACGGUUGUCCCGGUUUAAGCGUGUAGGCUGGUUUUCCAGGCAAAUCCGGAAAAUCAAGGCCGAGGCGUGAUGACGAGGCACUACGGUGCUGAAGCAACAAAUGCCCUGCUUCCAGGAAAAGCCUCUAAGCAUCAGGUAACAUCAAAUCGUACCCCAAACCGACACAGGUGGUCAGGUAGAGAAUACCAAGGCGCUUGAGAGAACUCGGGUGAAGGAACUAGGCAAAAUGGUGCCGUAACUUCGGGAGAAGGCACGCUGAUACGUAGGUGAAGCGACUUGCUCGUGGAGCUGAAAUCAGUCGAAGAUACCAGCUGGCUGCAACUGUUUAUUAAAAACACAGCACUGUGCAAACACGAAAGUGGACGUAUACGGUGUGACGCCUGCCCGGUGCCGGAAGGUUAAUUGAUGGGGUUAGCGCAAGCGAAGCUCUUGAUCGAAGCCCCGGUAAACGGCGGCCGUAACUAUAACGGUCCUAAGGUAGCGAAAUUCCUUGUCGGGUAAGUUCCGACCUGCACGAAUGGCGUAAUGAUGGCCAGGCUGUCUCCACCCGAGACUCAGUGAAAUUGAACUCGCUGUGAAGAUGCAGUGUACCCGCGGCAAGACGGAAAGACCCCGUGAACCUUUACUAUAGCUUGACACUGAACAUUGAGCCUUGAUGUGUAGGAUAGGUGGGAGGCUUUGAAGUGUGGACGCCAGUCUGCAUGGAGCCGACCUUGAAAUACCACCCUUUAAUGUUUGAUGUUCUAACGUGGACCCGUGAUCCGGGUUGCGGACAGUGUCUGGUGGGUAGUUUGACUGGGGCGGUCUCCUCCUAAAGAGUAACGGAGGAGCACGAAGGUUGGCUAAUCCUGGUCGGACAUCAGGAGGUUAGUGCAAUGGCAUAAGCCAGCUUGACUGCGAGCGUGACGGCGCGAGCAGGUGCGAAAGCAGGUCAUAGUGAUCCGGUGGUUCUGAAUGGAAGGGCCAUCGCUCAACGGAUAAAAGGUACUCCGGGGAUAACAGGCUGAUACCGCCCAAGAGUUCAUAUCGACGGCGGUGUUUGGCACCUCGAUGUCGGCUCAUCACAUCCUGGGGCUGAAGUAGGUCCCAAGGGUAUGGCUGUUCGCCAUUUAAAGUGGUACGCGAGCUGGGUUUAGAACGUCGUGAGACAGUUCGGUCCCUAUCUGCCGUGGGCGCUGGAGAACUGAGGGGGGCUGCUCCUAGUACGAGAGGACCGGAGUGGACGCAUCACUGGUGUUCGGGUUGUCAUGCCAAUGGCACUGCCCGGUAGCUAAAUGCGGAAGAGAUAAGUGCUGAAAGCAUCUAAGCACGAAACUUGCCCCGAGAUGAGUUCUCCCUGACCCUUUAAGGGUCCUGAAGGAACGUUGAAGACGACGACGUUGAUAGGCCGGGUGUGUAAGCGCAGCGAUGCGUUGAGCUAA
rnacentral:rRNA from 1 species